GGCCGGUUGGCCCAAUGGCAAGGCGUCUGACUACGACUCAUUAGUUAUCAGGAGAUUCUGGGUUCGACCCCCAGGCUGGUCA